UGGUGGGGUAAAGGCCUACCAAGGCGACGAUCCAUAGCUGGUCUGAGAGGAUGAUCAGCCACAUUGGGACUGAGACACGGCCCAAACUCCUACGGGAGGCAGCAGUGGGGAAUAUUGGACAAUGGGCGCAAGCCUGAUCCAGCCAUGCCGCGUGAGUGAUGAAGGCCUUAGGGUUGUAAAGCUCUUUCACCGGAGAAGAUAAUGACGGUAUCCGGAGAAGAAGCCCCGGCUAACUUCGUGCCAGCAGCCGCGGUAAUACGAAGGGGGCUAGCGUUGUUCGGAAUUACUGGGCGUAAAGCGCACGUAGGCGGAUAUUUAAGUCAGGGGUGAAAUCCCAGAGCUCAACUCUGGAACUGCCUUUGAUACUGGGUAUCUUGAGUAUGGAAGAGGUAAGUGGAAUUCCGAGUGUAGAGGUGAAAUUCGUAGAUAUUCGAAGGACACCAGUGGCGAAGGCGGCUUACUUGUCCAUUACUGACGUGA
rnacentral:rRNA from 1 species